rnacentral:rRNA from 1 species
UACGUAGGGGGCAAGCGUUGUCCGGAAUCAUUGGGCGUAAAGAGCGCGUAGGCGGCCCUGUAAGUCCGCUGUGAAAGUCAAGGGCUCAACCCUUGAAUGCCGGUGGAUACUGCAGGGCUAGAGUCCGGAAGAGGCGAGUGGAAUUCCUGGUGUAGCGGUGAAAUGCGCAGAUAUCAGGAGGAACACCGAUGGCGAAGGCAGCUCGCUGGGACGGUACUAACGCUGAGACGCGAAAGCGUGGGGAGCAAACAGG